UGUCCCGUCGCUCCAACACAAACAAAGACCCGGGUGCUCCACAGUCACCGGCAUGACUUUACGACGCCGCGUUCAUUCCGUUUAAUCUAGCGGAACAACCAGUUGGUGGCUACAUCUCUGGUAGAGAAACCUUUGGUCCUAAAUCAGGGAGAAGAAGGGAUGUUUCUGCGAGGAGGAAGAGGAGCAGAAUGACCGAAGCUCUUACUCCUCUGUGAGUCUGACAGCAGGGAAUGAUGGGGAAACCCGAUAAGAUCACUGAGCUUUAACAACACUGACGCUUCAACUGAGAAGCCUGGUCAAAUGAACCAUGAGAUGAGACCAGUUUAUGAGAUUUUACUUCCUAUCUUGGAGUAAAUCUACACUCCAGACUGGAACCUGUAAUGAAAUCAUGAAGUCAGUUGUGUCUGUAAGGUCUGACAUGCAUCAGAUCAGAGACUUUGUUUAUUUCAGUCAAGACUUGACUUGGACUUGUUGAAGAUGACUCGUGUGCAUCUUUGCUUCAUUAGACAGAGUCGAACAUGGAGCAAAGCAGCAAAACAAACAGAACAACAGCUGAUGACGAUAAUACACCAAUGCUCCCUUUUACACUUUGACCUGAGGAUGUUUUUGUUUAUUGUUCUUCCAACCGUGAAAUAAAAAUGCAACACAC